rnacentral:rRNA from 1 species
UACAGAGGGUGCAAGCGUUAAUCGGAAUUACUGGGCGUAAAGCGUGCGCAGUCGGUUGUUUAAGUCGGAUGUGAAAUCCCCGGGCUCAACCUGGGAAUUGCAUUCGAUACUGGAUAGCUAGAGUUCGGCAGAGGGAAGUGGAAUUUCAGGUGUAGCGGUGAAAUGCGUAGAUAUCUGAAGGAACAUCAGUGGCGAAAGCGACUUCCUGGACCAGAACUGACGAUCAGGCACGAAAGCGUGGGGAGCAAACAGG